rnacentral:tRNA from 1 species
GCUCGUGUGGAUCAAUCGGACCGCGCACUGGACUCACAAUCCAGAGGUUGCUGGUUUGAAUCCAGCGGUGGGUG